UGGGGAAUAUUGGACAAUGGGCGGAAGCCUGAUCCAGCAACGCCGCGUGAGGGAUGACGGCCUUCGGGUUGUAAACCUCUUUCAGUACCGACGAAGCGAAAGUGACGGUAGGUACAGAAGAAGGACCGGCCAACUACGUGCCAGCAGCCGCGGUAAUACGUAGGGUCCGAGCGUUGUCCGGAAUUAUUGGGCGUAAAGGGCUCGUAGGCGGUUUGUCGCGUCGGGAGUGAAAACAGCGGGCUUAACUCGUUGCUUGCUUUCGAUACGGGCAGACUAGAGGUAUGCAGGGGGAGAAUGGAAUUCCUGGUGUAGUGGUGAAAAUGCGCAGAUAUCAGGAGGAACACCGGUGGCGAAGGCGGUUCUCUGGGCAUUACCUGACGCUGAGGAGCGAAAGUGUGGGGAGCGAACAGGAUUAGAUACCCUGGGUAGUCCACACCGUAAACGUUGGGCGCUAGGUGUGGGGUCCUUUCCACGGAUUCCGUGCCGUAGCUAACGCAUUAAGCGCCCCGCCUGGGGAGUACGGCCGCAAGGCU
rnacentral:rRNA from 1 species